GACGAACGCUGGCGGCGUGCUUAACACAUGCAAGUCGAACGAAGUGGCGAACGGGUGAGUAACGCGUAAUCAACCUGCCCUUCAGAGGGGGACAACAGUUUGAAACGACUGCUAAUACCGCAUAAUGAGGGAGGGGAUUGCGUCUGAUUAGCUGGUUGGAGGGGGAACGGCCCACCAAGGCGAUGAUCAGUAGCCGGUCUGAGAGGAUGAACGGCCACAGUGGGACUGAGACAAGGCCCAGAAUCCUACGGGAGGCAGCAGGGGGGAAUUUUCCGCAAUGGAAGAAAGUCUGACGGAGCAACGCCGCGUGAGUGAUGACGGCCUUCGGGUUGUAAAGCUCUGUUAAUCGGGACGCGGUACCGGAAUAGAAAGCCACGGCUAACUACGUGCCAGCCGCCGCGGUAAUAC
rnacentral:rRNA from 1 species